GAGAUGAGAGGCAGGUGUGUGAUGAGGUCACAGUUCCAGCUGGUGGCCGCAGCCCACACAGACGCACAGGAAAGAGAUGAGGCUGCCGUGAGGAGGUAAGGAGUUGUGACACCUCCAACUAUCUGCUCCCAGAGGUCUAAGGCAUCUUCCAGGGCCAGUGACGCUGUUUUCCAGAGAACUGAUUGCUUUAUAUUUUCAUGAGGCGAAGUGCCUUCUAAGAAGUUUGGACAGUGCUUUUCUGGCCAGCCCAGUCUUGAUGUGAAUGCUGGCGGAAGAAGGUGUUAUGAUUGACGGGAGCGGACUAAACAGAAACAACACAUCCAACAACAUCCCUCAAAUUAAACAUGAAGUGGUGCAGAAAAAUUGCUCGGUCAUCCCUCCUUUUCUGCUACGCAGCCAAGGUGACGACUGCUAAGGGCAAGCAGUGGACAAUGAUACAACAUCCAGGAGAAGCAAGAAACGGGGAAAACUACAACCACUCUUUGCUGACAAAUUGCCUCCAAUCAACCAGCUGCUGUGGAGCGGGAAGCAGGGUACACCCUGGACAGGUCACCACUCUGUCACAGGGCUAACACAGACAGAUAACCAUUCAUGCUCAUAUUCACACCUAUGGAUGAUGACACCAUGCCUUUGGGCUGUAGGUGGGAGAAUUGUGAUUUUGUCUAUGUUUAGUAAGAAAAACUCCCACUCCUGCUCCUUCUUGUGAUUCACUGCAUUUUCAGUGUAGCUCUGAGGAUUUUUAGCAGUCUAUGUUGCAUAGAUGGGAUUUUAUGGUGUAACAGUGCCACUGUUCACCAUAUAGCUGGUAUGCACCACCUUUGAAUUGAAACAAAAAGAGAUGGAAUAAUCAAACGCACCAUGAACUUUCCCACUGACAGUAAAUUAGCUGGAA